rnacentral:rRNA from 1 species
AGGACGAACGCUGGCGGCGUGCUUAACACAUGCAAGUGGAGCGACGAACCAGGGCUUGCCCUGGGGCAGAGCCGCGAACGGGUGAGUAACACGUGGGUUACCUGCCUCGAUGACCGGGACAACCCGAGGAAAACUCGGGCUAAUACCGGAUGUGCCCGCAAGGGGAAAGGAAGCUUCGGCCUCCGCAUCGAGAUGGGCCCGCGGCCCAUUAGCUUGUUGGUGAGGUAACGGCUCACCAAGGCUUCGAUGGGUAGCUGGUCUGAGAGGACGAUCAGCCACACUGGGACUGAGACACGGCCCAGACUCCUACGGGAGGCAGCAGUGGGGAAUCUUGCGCAAUGCGCGAAAGCGUGACGCAGCAACGCCGCGUGGGGGAAGAAGGCUUUCGGGUUGUAAACCCCUUUCAGUUGGGACGAAGCUUCGGCGGUGAAUAGCCGACCGGAGUGACGGUACCUUCACAAGAGCACCGGCUAACUACGCGCCAGCAGCCGCGGU